ACAUAUCAAUAAGCGGAGGAAAAGAAACCAACAGGGAUUGCCCCAGUAACGGCGAGUGAAGCGGCAACAGCUCAAAUUUGAAAUCUGGCCCUCGGGUCCGAGUUGUAAUUUGUAGAGGAUGCUUUUGGCGAGGUGCCUUCCGAGUUCCCUGGAACGGGACGCCAUAGAGGGUGAGAGCCCCGUCUGGUCGGACACCGAGCCUCUGUAAAGCUCCUUCGACGAGUCGAGUAGUUUGGGAAUGCUGCUCAAAAUGGGAGGUAUAUGUCUUCUAAAGCUAAAUAUUGGCCAGAGACCGAUAGCGCACAAGUAGAGUGAUCGAAAGAUGAAAAGCACUUUGAAAAGAGGGUUAAAAAGUACGUGAAAUUGUUGAAAGGGAAGCGCCUAUGACCAGACUUGAGCCCGGUGAAUCAUCCAGCGUUCUCGCUGGUGCACUUUGCCGGGCCCAGGCCAGCAUCAGUUUGGCGCGGGGGAUAAAGGUGACGGGAAUGUGGCUCCCUCGGGAGUGUUAUAGCCCGCUACGUAAUACCCUGCGCCGGACUGAGGUACGCGCAUUGCAAGGAUGCUGGCGUAAUGGUCAUCAGCGACCCGUCUUGAAACACGGACCAAGGAGUCGUCUUCGUAUGCGAGUGUUCGGGUGUCAAACCCCUACGCGUAAUGAAAGUGAACGCAGGUGAGAGCUUCGGCGCAUCAUCGACCGAUCCUGAUGUUCUCGGAUGGAUUUGAGUAAGAGCAUACGGGGCCGGACCCGAAAGAAGGUGAACUAUGCCUGUAUAGGGUGAAGCCAGAGGAAACUCUGGUGGAGGCUCGCAGCGGUUCUGACGUGCGAAUCGAUCGUCAAAUAUGGGCAUGGGGGCGAAAGACUAAUCGAACCUUCUAGUAGCUGGUUUC
rnacentral:rRNA from 1 species